UACGGAGGGUGCAAGCAUUAAUCGGAUUUAUUGGGCGUAAAGGGCGCGUAGGCGGUAAGAAAAGUCAGAUGUGAAAUCCUGGGGCUCAACCUCAGAACAGCAUUUGAAACUGUCUUUCUAGAGGGUAGGCGGAGAAAACGGAAUUCCACAAGUAGCGGUGAAAUGCGUAGAUAUGUGGAAGAACACCGGUGGCGAAGGCGGUUUUCUAGCUUAUACCUGACGCUGAGGCGCGAAAGCAAGGGGAUCAAACAGG
rnacentral:rRNA from 1 species